AAUGCAAUGCUUUUGGGAAUAUUUGGCCUAAAUACUUCCCAAUGAAAACCUUGAAAAUGAAAUGCUCCCCAUGGUCAUCAUCUCAAUUGAUUACUAGCCAACGGCCACCUGUUUUGGAGGUCUAUUACCUAUGCAUUAACUUGGCACAAAAUGAACAAUAGUGAUAUAGAUAAUGAGCUAAGCCUUACUGGAGACUGUUUUAAAAAUUUCUAAGUAUUUCAAACAUGGUCUGCCGUACCGGCCGGUAUGGGCCGGUAUGUACCGGUCCGCCCUGGGACUGAUACCGGAUCAGCGUGGAAUUUGGUACCGGUGGUUUAUUGUUGGAGAACCGGUACGGGACCCGUUCAGACCGGUAUGGGCUGGUACGUGACCGGUUCGGGCCGGUACGUGACCGGUUCGGGCCGGUACGUGACCGGUUCGGGCCGGUACGUGACCGGCACGGGACCGAUUCGUACCGGUCCGGGCCGCCACCGGUACGCCGGACCUUGAUUUCAAACCAUUGAUUUUAAAACAUAUGCAAACCAAAGUUCAACUGAUGUGGAUGCUUCUAGAGCAUUGAAAAAAUCAAAGCAUUAUAUGAUUCUGUUGAAAUUGUCCAUGCUGUAUCCAUUUGAUGUACAGGUAAAAGACCAUAAAGAUGCAUGAUUUUUCACUCCUAGCUAGUUUAUGUAAAUUGUGG
rnacentral:lncRNA from 1 species